AGAGAAAGUGCAAUCGAUAAUUGUGCUGGCUUCUUUUCAUUCUUAUAAUACUUCUGAGUUGAAGAUCCCGAAUCCCAUUUCAGGGAAUAUCAGUAAGGCUCGGACUCAGGAUUUUAUCCCAGUCCCGUAGCUCAGCUGGUUAGAGCGCUACACUGAUAAUGUAGAGGCCCGCGGUUCAAGUCCGCGCGGGACUACUCAAUUCACAAGCAAAAAGUGACUGCCACUAGGUAGUCUCCAAUUGUGAGUUAGACCUUGCGGUCUAUUUGAAAAACACUGGGGGAUUAGCUCAGCUGGCUAGAGCACCUGCCUUGCACGCAGGGGGUCAUCGGUUCGAAUCCGUUAUCCUCCACUAGUAUUAUAAUCUGUUCUUUUAUGUUGGUUUAGCCUUAGAAAUGGUGCAAAUCCAUUCCCAACACUUUUCUCUAAAUGAGAAAAAGUUCUUUGAAAUCUUGAAUAAUAUUAUAAGAG
rnacentral:tRNA from 1 species